rnacentral:lncRNA from 1 species
CAUUGAGCCAUCCCAACCUAGAGAGGUUAGUUAGCUUGUCAAGUUGUUGGCUCAAAGGCCAAGAAGAUAGGAAAUCAGUAUCCCUACUUUGGCCAUCCCAACCUGGAGCGACCGGCUAGCUCACCAAGUCUUCAACUCAAAGGUUGACAAGAUGAGAGGUUUGUAUCUCCAAUUGGACUAUCCUAACUUGGAGGGUUCAGUUAGCUUGCCAAAUUCCUAGCUUAGAGGUGGGU